rnacentral:rRNA from 1 species
GCCGGUAAUAAACCGGAGGAAGGUGGGGAUGACGUCAAAUCAUCAUGCCCCUUAUGACCUGGGCUACACACGUGCUACAAUGGUUGGUACAACGAGUUGCGAGUCGGUGACGGCGAGCUAAUCUCUUAAAGCCAAUCUCAGUUCGGAUUGUAGGCUGCAACUCGCCUACAUGAAGUCGGAAUCGCUAGUAAUCGCGGAUCAGCACGCCCGCGGUCCGAAUGUUCCGGCCUU